rnacentral:rRNA from 1 species
AUUGAACGCUGGCGGCAUGCCUUACACAUGCAAGUCGAACGGCAGCACGGGAGCAAUCCUGGUGGCGAGUGGCGAACGGUUGAGUAAUAUAUCGGAACGUGCCCAGUAGUGGGGGAUAACUGCUCGAAAGAGCAGCUAAUACCGCAUACGACCUGAGGGUGAAAGGGGGGGAUCGCAAGACCUCGCGCAGUUGGAGCGGCCGAUAUCAGAUUAGGUAGUUGGUGGGGUAAAGGCUCACCAAGCCAACGAUCUGUAGCUGGUCUGAGAGGACGACCAGCCACACUGGGACUGAGACACGGCCCAGACUCCUACGGGAGGCAGCAGUGGGGAAUUUUGGACAAUGGGCGCAAGCCUGAUCCAGCCAUGCCGCGUGCGGGAAGAAGGCCUUCGGGUUGUAAACCGCUUUUGUCAGGGAAGAAAAGACUCCUGUUAAUACCGGGGGUUCAUGACGGUACCUGAAGAAUAAGCACCGGCUAACUACGUGCCAGCAGCCGCCGUAAAAC